rnacentral:lncRNA from 1 species
AGUCAUCUAUACAUCCAUUUAUUGUCCUGAAAGGUUUCUUCCAAAGAUUGACUUUCAGGGCAUAUUUCCAACAGUUUCUGCCACUAACACAAGGUUUGGACGAAAAUUGAUUUUAUCUUGACUUAAAACACUUAAAAACACAAUCUAAAACAAGUACUAACUAAUAUGACUUAAUAAAAUAAAGGGGAUUUUGGUUUUGGACGAAAAUAAGGAAAACAAAGCAAGAACAAUUUAAACAUAUUCUUAGACAAAUUUAGGUGAAUUGAUGGGUGAUGGGUUCAACUAUGGAUGAUGGGCUAGCUAGAGGGUUUUUCUCCACACAUGACACACUUGCAUAUAAAACGAUUUCCAGUUGCUUUUCAAUAAACCAUGAACCUCAACACCCCAGAUUAAUUAGGUACGCUUAAAUUAAUCCUCAGAUUUUCCUAAUUUCAUUGAAUUGGAUGAUUGCAUACAACAACCCAAAGCAUUCCCCACAAGUUCCCUACAUGAAUUGCAUAAUAGAGAUACAAGCAAGAAUCAUUAAGUUCUAUGAAAAUCAUAAGCAUUGACGAAACACUUGUAACUAUGAAUUGCAUGAAACUUAUGCCAAGAAUUUACUUAACACGGUUGUGACAAACAACCUUUACUACUUGUGAAUAUAAGUUCAUAACGAUUAGGUGAAACUCCCUUAUAUCCUAGCAUCAAAUUUAUGCAUGGAAAUUAAGCGUGCACUCUCAACCAACAUACACAAAUCAGUUUUAAUUCGAAUGGAUAAGUAAAUUGAAUUCACAACUUAUGAAUCACAACUUAUGAAUCACAACUGAAAGUAAUCAAAUCAUAUUGCAAGCAUGAACAUGGUUUCGAAUUCCCCCCUAGCUAAGGGGGGUUUAGUUUCUCAUACUUACAAAGCAAAGAUAAACAAAUUUAGAUAUUGAAAAUAAAAGAAAGAAAACACCUAAACGCUCCAACGAUCCAAGUUGGACAGCAAGCACAUCCAAGCACUUUCCUUCCCUUCCUUUGCUACGACACAAGGUGUUGGUGAGUGUUUGAAGGUUUGUUUGUAUGGAGGAAUGGAUGUGAGGAUGAAUGGAAGUGUUUGGAUGAAGGUUGUAUCGAAAUGGAGUUGAAUUCUCUAGCAAAAACUAAGCUCUAUGGCUGCCACACAGACUUCAUUUUAUAGAGGAAGUGCAAGGCAAGAGAGGUGAAUUGGUGGUGUGUGCAAUGAUUCAAGGGUGAAAAUGAAGUAAUGAUGCAAAGCAUGGGGGGUAAAAUGGAGUGGUGUUGCAACAAUGAGUGAAAGGAGUGGUGUUGAAAUGAUUCAAAGGUGAAAGUGCAGUGAUGAUGCAAAGCAUGGGGGGUAAA